rfam:Frigoribacterium sp. Leaf172 contig_1, whole genome shotgun sequence.
GAUCACCAUCCAUUCACGAAGGAUCGUCCGGCACGUACCUGCCGGUGAAGGAGAAACAU